rnacentral:snoRNA from 1 species
CCCAUCCAGGACGACGAGCUGAUCUCCUAUAUUCUUCACGGGCUGGACAUGGAUUACCAGUCCCUCGUCUCGGUCCUCGAUGCCCGCGUCAUGCCUGUCACCCUCGACGAGCUCUUUGCCAUGCUCAAAAACUUCGAUC